GACAGAGGGUGCAAACGUUGUUCGGAUUUACUGGGCGUAAAGCGCGUGUAGGCGGCUUGGCAAGUCGGUUGUGAAAGCCCACGGCUCAACCGUGGAAGCGCAUCCGAAACGGCCUCGCUCGAGUCUCGGAGAGGAAGGUGGAAUGCUUGGUGUAGAGGUGAAAUUCGUAGAUAUCAAGCAGAACACCUGCGGCGAAGGCGGCCUUCUGGACGAUGACUGACGCUGAGACGCGAAAGCGUGGGGAGCAAACAGG
rnacentral:rRNA from 1 species